GCGGGUGUAGUUCAAUGGUAGAACAUCAGCUUCCCAAGCUGAAUACGAGGGUUCGAUUCCCUCCACCCGCUCCA
rnacentral:tRNA from 1 species